AGAGUUUGAUCCUGGCUCAGAACGAACGCUGGCGGSGUGCUUAACACAUGCAAGUCGAACGUGAUCCAGAGCUUGCUCUGGUGAAAGUGGCGCACGGGUGARUAACGCGUGGAUAACCUGCCCUGGUAUCUGGGAUAACAUCUCGAAAGGGGUGCUAAUACCGGAUAAGCCUACGGACUCCUCGGAGUCUGCAGGAAAAGGAGGCCUCUAUUUAUAAGCUUCCGUAUCAUGAUGGGUCCGCGUACCAUUARCUAGUUGGUGGGGKAAUGGCCUACCMAGGCGACGAUGGUUAGCUGGUCUGAGAGGAUGAUCARCCACACUGGAACUGAGACACGGUCCAGACUCCUACGGGAGGCAGCAGUGGGGAAUUUUGCGCAAUGGGGGAAACCCUGACGCAGCAACGCCGCGUGAGUGAUGAAGGCUUUCGGGUCGUAAAGCUCUGUCAGAGGGGAAGAAAUGAAACGUGCUAAUAUCACGUUUUCUUGACGGUACCCUCAAAGGAAGCACCGGCUAACUCCGUGCCAGCAGCCGCGGUAAUAC
rnacentral:rRNA from 2 species